CUUGCUCCUCUGAUUUAGCGGCGGACGGGUGAGUAACACGUGGGUAAUCUGCCUGUAAGACGGGGAUAACUCCGGGAAACCGGGGCUAAUACCGGAUAAUAAGAGAAGAAGCAUUUCUUCUUUUUGAAAGUCGGUUUCGGCUGACACUUACAGAUGAGCCCGCGGCGCAUUAGCUAGUUGGUGAGGUAACGGCUCACCAAGGCGACGAUGCGUAGCCGACCUGAGAGGGUGAUCGGCCACACUGGGACUGAGACACGGCCCAGACUCCUACGGGAGGCAGCAGUAGGGAAUCUUCGGCAAUGGGCGAAAGCCUGACCGAGCAACGCCGCGUGAGCGAUGAAGGCCUUCGGGUCGUAAAGCUCUGUUGUUAGAGAAGAACAAGUACGAGAGUAACUGCUCGUACCUUGACGGUACCUAACCAGAAAGCCACGGCUAACUACGUGCCAGCAGCCGCGGUAAUACGUAGGUGGCAAGCGUUAUCCGGAAUUAUUGGGCGUAAAGCGCGCGCAGGCGGUCUCUUAAGUCUGAUGUGAAAGCCCACGGCUCAACCGUGGAGGGUCAUUGGAAACUGGGAGACUUGAGUGCAGGAGAGAAAAGUGGAAUUCCACGUGUAGCGGUGAAAUGCGUAGAGAUGUGGAGGAACACCAGUGGCGAAGGCGGCUUUUUUGGCCUGUAACUGACGCUGAGGCGCGAAA
rnacentral:rRNA from 1 species